CCUACGGGUGGCAGCAGUGGGGAAUAUUGGACAAUGGGCGAAAGCCUGAUCCAGCCAUGCCGCGUGUGUGAAGAAGGCCUUCGGGUUGUAAAGCACUUUCAGUGGGGAAGAAAGCCUUGGGGCUAAUACCCUCGAGGAAGGACAUCACCCACAGAAGAAGCACCGGCUAACUCCGUGCCAGCAGCCGCGGUAAUACGGAGGGUGCGAGCGUUAAUCGGAAUUACUGGGCGUAAAGCGCGCGUAGGCGGUCUGAUAAGCCGGUUGUGAAAGCCCCGGGCUCAACCUGGGAACGGCAUCCGGAACUGUCAGGCUAGAGUGCAGGAGAGGAAGGUAGAAUUCCCGGUGUAGCGGUGAAAUGCGUAGAGAUCGGGAGGAAUACCAGUGGCGAAGGCGGCCUUCUGGACUGACACUGACGCUGAGGUGCGAAAGCGUGGGUAGCAAACAGGAUUAGAACCCCUGUAGUC
rnacentral:rRNA from 1 species